AGAGAAAUACAGCUCCCAUGGUUCUCCAAUAGCAAUCGAGCUCCUCGAUGCCGCCACAAACGCCCGAGUCACCUCCGACUUGCGGCUCGAGAUCGUAACGCUGCUGAUAUCGCCGAGGAAAGCUUCACCACCGAGGAGUUUAACAGGAAUAUUCUCCGACCACGGGAAGGGAAACCACCAUUGCUCGCCGGAGACCUGACUGUGACGCUUGAAGACGGGGUCGGAGUAGUCAGCGGCGACGUCACUUUCACAGAAAAUUCGAGCUGGACGAGAUGCAGGUUAGGUGCUAAAGUUAGACAACAAGGAGGAGUUGUGGAGGCCAUAAGUAGAGCGUUCGUGUGCAGAGAUCGUCCAAGAGGAGAGUCUUAUUCUGAUUCUAAGGUACACGACAUGACCAAACACGGAGUUAAAGAAUCUCUUGAUGGAUCCCAAGACGAUGAGGCUCAAGAUUGCAGAUCUUGGUUUAGCCAGAGCCUUCACUCUCCCUAUGAAGAAGUAUAACCAUGAGAUAUUGACUCUAUGGUAUAGAGCUCCAGAAGUUCUUCUUGGUGCCACUCAUUACUCUACAGCUGUUGAUAUGUGGUCUGUUGGCUGCGUUUUUGCUGAGCUUGUGACCAACCAAGCGAUUCUUGCUGGGGACUCUGAGCUCCAUCACUCUCACUUAAACUUCUUAAUCAGACUUGAAAAAAUUCUUCGGUAACGUCUUCUUCCGUUGUUGUUGCGUAAUCAGCCUUCGACGCUCUCCGUCUCGGUAGAUCGUCGCAGUUCAUUGUUGCUUGGCUUCUCCGUUUCUGGGACUCGGAAAACAUCAAGAAGUAUGGUAAAUUCAUGGGUAUCACUCUACUUCUCUUUGAUGAGAAGGUAUUGUAUCCAAAAAAGAGAAGAUUAUGUACUUUCGUUUUUUUGGUCGCUAUAUGUUUCAGAUUGUCUCUCAUCACACUGCAAGGAACUAUAUGAAGUCAAAGAAGGCAAAUAAGAGUUUGAUUUCAAGGUGGUCACCGAGACCGUUCCAAAAUGAGCGUGAUUAUGUCCCGUUGAGCUCUAUGGCUUGGCCAAAGACGAGUCUGAUUACGGAUGAUACACAACAAGCUUCAAGAUAGAUAACAGUGACCUUCGAGAAAGGAGGCAAGCCUACUGUUAGAGUUGCUAGCCUUGGCCACGCGUUGCAUGUCUGGCUCAAUUGAGAAUACCUUGGAUAGUGUGUCUUAUCUGGAGCAUAGAUUCACAUGUCACACGUAGUGUUUCCAUCUUAGGGUUGAGCUCUGGACCACUUGAUCUCACUGAGAAAAACAAAUGGGGAAACAAGGUGGGUAUUGAAGGCUAGAAGCUCUAUAUUCACACGAGAAAGGAUAGAAGAAGGUUAAGUGGCAGAAAUUCUCAUGAAAAGCACCAGGAUUUACCUGGUAUCAGGCAUGCGCCAGGAGUUUAGUAAUAUUAAGUUUUCUUUUUCCAUCUGAAGAAGAUUCUUUAACGAAAUAAGGAAAAUAAAUAAGUAUGUAUUCCUCUUAGUAUCACUAGACAUGAAAAUAAAAAAUUUGUGCUCACUUCACCACCACAGGUUAGUUUAUAUCUAACUUAGCACCAACAUCUUAUGCUCAUUUGGUAUUCCUCUUACUGUCACUAGAUAUUAUAGACUGCAUACUGGGAAAGUUGAUAACUCUGAAACAUCACAUGAGUGGUGCUAUAUCUCAUGCUCCAAGAGCUCCUGGAAACUGCGGCGUGGGCUUUCAUCUUUCGUGUGUGGAUCAUAUCAUGAUGAAAAAGCUGUUGGCAUUGUAAGUCGUCUCUCUCUUUGAUGACAAGUACCGGGUGGAGAUGGCAGUAUCAGAUGCAUCCGACUCUGCUCUGUUUGUAGCUUUCGAUGCUGAGAUGAACAAGCUGAUCAAUGUUCCUGCUGCAUGAGUGUCUCAAGGCAUGGGCACCAGCAUGGAGGAUGCACAUAACAUUGCUUUCCCACAGUGCCUCAGAGACAUACUGGGGAGGGCCUUAACAUUCCAGCAGAAACUUUCAAGGUUUAAUUUCUCAUCAAAGCAUCAGUCAUUCACCUUAAUUUCUCUGUAUAUUUACGUUUAAGCACUCCAAGCAUUAUUGUGUUAUGUAUACCCAUACUCCUCCACAUGGAGGUGAUGAAAACACCGGCAAUGAUGUUCCAGGAGCUAUAUAUAGAGAUACUUCUGAAGCUCUUUAAAGAGGUGCUCCAGUCAACAACGGCGGACCCAUUACUCAUGUCAUGGUGAAAGGCAAGAAACAGCCUCUAAACCUACCAAAAACCAUGUUCGCAAUGGUUAAGCUUCAGAUUACUGGAGCCUAAUGGAAUGUUGCAGACUUCCACAACUGCUUUUUGUCGUUUUCUUAAAAAAAAAUCUUUAAUAAAUGUGUACUUGAGCUAUUUGGCUCUGUAUUUCAGAUGACUUAGAAAAGAGCCUCCUACAGUUAUUUAUGUGUACUUGAGCUAUUUGGCUAUGUAUUUCAAAUGACUUAUAAAAUAGACUCCUUCAACUAAUUUAUAUUUGCUUACA